GACGAACCGUGCGAACGUUGUUCGGAAUCACUGGGCUUAAAGGGCGCGUAGGCGGGCUACCAAGUCUGUGGUGAAAUCCCCCGGCUCAACCGGGGAACGGCCGUGGAUACUGGGAGCCUCGAGGGAGAUAGGGGCAGGCGGAACUGAUGGUGGAGCGGUGAAAUGCGUAGAUAUCGAGAGGAACACCUGCGGCGAAGGCGGGUUGCUGGGCUGACACUGACGCUGAUGUGCGAAAGCUAGGGGAGCGAACGGG
rnacentral:rRNA from 1 species